rnacentral:lncRNA from 1 species
CAGUGUUAACAUGGUUAAAUCAACAUAAAGCCUGAAGGGCAUUUAAUUUAAAAAAGAACGCACUUUACUUGAUUUAAUGAUUUCAAUUUAUUCCCUUGGAUUAUUUUUAUUCAUUACACAAAAAUGUACUGAACACAUUGUAUUUGAUGCAGUAGUGUCAAAAUUUUUCAUGUGUAUUGGAAUCACUUAAAUUCUGCCUUAGGAACUCAUGAUUCAGUGAGUGAAAAAUCAGAUCCCAGAAAUGUGUACUUAGAAACUGCUGCCCAAGAUGAUUUUGAAGUAAAUGGGACUCACAUCCCCACUUUUGAGAGAGAUUGUGACAAAGGCUUUCUGAUUAUGUCUCUUAAUCUUAAGACAAAGAACAGGGAUACAACUGCCUCUCCUCCUUGAAAACAUGAGGUUGUAAAGUGUCUCAUAUACUUCAUUUGAGUAAAAUUUAAGACAUGUAAAUGAGUGGUUACUCACCCACAGCUAGGAAAUUGUGUUCAAGAAGGGGGUAGAAAGUCUGGAUGUCAUUGCAUGCCCACUUUGCAUUUCAACAUGUCUAAAAAAAUUUUCUUCCAGAAUUACUCCUAAAAUAGUAUUUUCUAAUAGAUUCUUCAUACCCCUCCUCGCUGUUGAAAUCUGCAGAUAGUAACUAAGCAUGGAAAACACAUUCUUUUCAAGCCACUACCUGAAAGCAAGCAGCCCUAUUGGAGGGUGUGGCCACCAAGACUGGGAAGGGGACCACAGAGUUCUUGUGUUGUGCUUUGCCCUCCCUCUGAGUCCCUUCGCAGAGGUCCUGGAAUUGAAUUCUACCUUGAAUUAUCAUUUUGGGGAGCACCUAUCAUAGACUAGUCACUGGUGUACAGGCUUUAUAAAAUAGAGAAGAGACUUUGUGCAUCAAUUAACAACCUCUAGCUCCCAGCCAAGUACCUGGAACUGGUGGAGAAGCAGGAUGACCAAGAGGGAGAAGAACAUUCACCGCUCUCAUGGGCUUCCCUGUCUUGCUUGAGAAUGAGUUAGAGAAUCCCCCCACCCCUCACAGAUUGCCAUGAGUUUCCAUUCAGAGAACAAAGUAUGAAUCUAAAAACCAUGGUACCACCAAGUGGUCACGACUCGGGCCAGUCAAGUUGUACUGAAAUCAGAGUGAUUCACAGAUAGAUUGCUUUUAAUCGAGAAGAAAAAGAGUCAAGGAAAAUACAAACUCUGUAAAGAGAGAAGCCCAGAUGAGUUGCUGAAUUUCCUAGAAGGUGAAAGCUUAAAGUAUGUGAACAGCAAAUAAACACUAUGAGCAGAAAUUUUAAAAAGAUGGA